rnacentral:ncRNA from 1 species
UUUGGAGAGUUUUCUUCAUUACGAUUUUCUGUAACAGUGUCAUAAAAGUUACCACACGAUAACAGGGAGGCCAAGUGUUUAUAGUGACACAAAAUUGAAAAUGUAAAGUUUAAAAUUGCUUUUUCAUCUUUGUGUCUGCUCGUCUUUUCAGUGUGAGGCAGAAUUCACUGAGCUCUGCAUUGUUCCCCCGCUAACAAGGGAUGUGACCUGGCUUUUGGCUGUUGUAAGAAAGGUUAGUU